rnacentral:lncRNA from 1 species
AAUUAAUUUCUUGACAAUAACACUUGCAUCUAUACUUCAGUCUGCUAGUCAAUUUAUAUAAAAAUUAUAACAUGUUUAUUACUGAUUUCUUUUUUUAAAAGGUAUAUUUAUUUGAGAGAGAGAGAGCACGAGUGCAUAGGGAGGGGUAGAGGAAGAGGGAGGGAGAAAUUUUAGCAGACUCCUCACUGAGCUCAGGGCCCGACAGGGGACUUGAUCUCAGGACCCUGAGAUCAAGACCUGAGCUGAAACCAAGAGUCUGACGCGCAACCAAUUGCACCACCCAGGGGCCCCACUAAUGAUUUAUUUCUUAAUAAUCACGCCCUUCCUCUCCUGCUGAGUUGCUUCUGAACUUAAAGGUUAAUGAAACUGAAGCACAUUUUAAAACUUUCUAUGUGAGCCAUGAUAAGUUCUCUGUUCUUAACAGAAAAACAGUAACAUGGAACUACAUAUAUGGUUGUCUCUCUUGCCAGUUAGGUUAUUUAUAUCUUAUCAGAAAAAAGCCAUUGUAUUGAUAUAUCUACCUGCUACUUAACAGGGCGAAACUUAAUUGUGACAUUGUAGGAAACCAAUGAUCAGGGAGUGUAUAAAUUACUCAUUCACUAAACUCAAAAUACAAAUGGCCAGCAGAUAAUUUAUGGUGACGAUGUAAAUGGCAAAAAUGCUAGGAGAUAACAAGCACUGGUUUUUAAAAGAUCAAACAUCAAAGCAAACUGCAGUGUUGAAUCCAUUUUGAAAACCACUUAUUCUGAAUAAAUGUUAUGUUUGAAAAGACAAAGAGCUGGAUAAUCACUUGUGAGCAGGAAAAUAAAUCAUUUGUUGUUACAGAAUUUGAAAAAUCAACGCUAUGACUUUUAGAUUGUCCAGUAAUUUCCUUUGCAGCUAGUAAUUUUUAAAACAUAGCUACAAAACAGUUUUGCUAUUCCUACCGAAUACUUGAUGAGUGAUGAUUUAUAUAGAAAAGGAGUAAAAGCAAGGAGUGUUUCUUAUGGAAUUUAUGCUUUGUGUAACUCUAGGAGUCUCACACAUCAUAUGUGCUUUCACCAUGAAGAUAAGGAAACUAUUUGCCAACCCUCAUUUAAUCCGAAAGUAGACUCUGUGUGAAUGAAGUGACUUCUUUAUGCAGCCAAGUCUGUGGUUCCAGUUGAAAGGUAUGUUUCAUGGCUCUCCAACAUUCUGAUCUUAGACUUUGCAUCUUAUAUGGGAAAAUAAACUUCCCAUAACACACACCAUUUUGUA